AAGUCGUAACAAGGUUUCCGUAGGUGAACCUGCGGAAGGAUCAUUACCGAGUUCGUUUGGGUAAACCGAACACUCUUCACCCUUGCUUAAACGUCAAGUUGCUUCGGCAGGCCUACAGUCGGCUUCUAGCGGGCUAGCUCCUGCCGAAGAUAUAUACUCUUUAUAUUUUUUGUUACGUCUCACAAAAAUAAACAAAAACUUUCAACAACGGAUCUCUUGGUUCUG
rnacentral:misc_RNA from 1 species